rnacentral:Y_RNA from 1 species
GGCUGGUCCGAUGGUAGUGGGUUAUCAGAACUUAUUAACAUUAGUGUCACUAAAGUUGGUAUUCAAAACCCCACUGCUAAAUUUGACUGUCUAAA